rnacentral:misc_RNA from 1 species
GGUUUGAUCCUGGCUCAGAUUGAACGCUGGCGGGAUGCUUUACACAUGCUGAAGUCGAACGGCAGCACGGACUUCGGUCUGGUGGCGAAGUGGCGAACAGUGAGUAAUGUAUCGGAACGUGCCUAGUAGCGGGGGAUAACUACGCGAAAGCGUAGCUAAUACCGCAUACGCCCUUCGGAAAGCGGGGGACCUUCGGGCCUCGCGCACUAUUAGAGCGGCCGAUAUCGGAUUAGCUAGUUGGUGAGGCCAACGCUCACCAAGGCGACGAUCCGUAACUCGGUUUGAGGAGGACGACCAACCACACUGGGACUGAGACACGGCCAGACUCCUACGGGGAGGCAGCAGUGGGGUACGGACAAUGGGAAACCCUGAUCCAGCCAUCCCGCGUGUGCGAUGAAGGCCUUCGGGUUGUAAAGCACUUUUGGCAGGAAAGAAACGGCACGGGAUAAUACCCCGUGCAACUGACGUACCUGCAGAAUAAGCACCGGCUAACUACGUGC